ACAGAUGGACUGAGGAUUUCUCCAUCACUGUUGCACAUAAGAAGAAUGGUAAUAGGAAGAGUGGACACAGCAGUGUUCAUACCAGGCACGAUCCUGGAGCCAGUGAUGCCAGAGGGAGCAAGCCUCCUACCCUACCAAACUUAUCUCCUGUGACCUUCUAGCCUGAGUCAAGCUGGGAUCUUCAUUGCUCUGUGUGGGCAAGGUUACAUCACAGCUUGGCAGGAUUUCUCCAAGCUCCACCUAAUGUUUGGCUGUGGGUCUCUGCAUCUGCUUCUGUCAGUUGCUGGGUAAUGCCUCUCAGAUAACAGCUAUGCCAGAGGUCAUGAGGAAUCAAGUUCUACCUCUGGGGAAAAGCCUCUUGAUCCCAGAAGAAAGGCAAGUAGGAACAUAUACCUUUGAAUGACAUCUCGCCAUUUAUUGAAGUUAUCAUCAUCAGAUCUGUGCUAUCUACCCAUUAAAACUUGUCUGGACAUUUGUAAAACUUAAUAGCUGAUUCACUGGAUCAGCAUAUGAUGGUUUAUGUGAAAUUUUAACUUCUGAGUAUGUUUUGUUAGGAACGGUUGACCACAUAGACUUCCAGAUGCACUUUCUCUUCUGAUCAGGUCUAGUGUCUAAAGCAUGGUGGUAUUCUAAGCUUGCACAUUUCUAUAUAUUUAGCUAUAUUUAUUGAUUUUUCUUUAAAAGUCUCUUGGUUCAUAGUUCUUACUGUGAAAACCUCAAUACUUUUAAAACACAGUGUCUUCCUUGACUAAAAAAGACAGUUUACUAGAUGUAGCAUACAAACCAGUAGCAAUAUGAAAGUUUUCUUUCUUCAGAUGUUUGUUUUUAACUUGUAAAUGCCUUUAUAUCACAGCUCAGCAUAUGUGUGAAUAACAUAUAAAAUUCAAGAGGUAAGAAAGUUAUCACAGCUCAGCAUAUAUGUUAGUAACAUAUAAAAUACAUGGGAGUAAGAAAGUUACCACAGCUUAGAAUAGGUGUGAGUAGCAUAUAAAAUACACAGGAGUAAGAAAGCUGUAUAAACUUGGAAUGCAUCUGUUUCUGCACUUUAACAUGGAAUUGAAAGUUCAAGUCAUGCAAGCUUAUUUAAAUUCUUCCCUUAUGUCAUGAACAUUCAUUUGUUAAUGUUUACUAAUUAAUAAAUUGCACAUAAGUUAGUUUAAAUCAAGAAAAUGAUUCACAUAUGACUAUAAUUUUAAAUCCUUAAAUAUCUCUACAUUUUAAAGUCAGUGAUGUAAAUAAUUAAAGAUAGAAUAAAUUUUUAUAUGAGCAUAGAUGAUUGGAGAGAUGUCUCUGUGCUUAAUAGCACUUGUUCCUCUUCCAGAGAAUUUGAGUUUGCAUACAAGCCCUCACAUUUGAUGCCUUACUCCCGCCUGAAACUGCAGCUUCAGAGCAUCUCAUACUGUCUUGUGGCCUUUGAAGGCUCUCAUGCACACACACACACACAGAUUCACAUAUAAGUGGACACACAUACACACACACACACACACACACACACACACACACAUAAACGUAUCUAUCUAUCAUCUAUCUAUCUAUCUAUCUAUCUAUCUAUCUAUCUAUCUAUCUAUCUAUCUAUUUACCUAUCACAUUUUGUAAGUGAACUUUGGCAACAUUAAGAAACUAUUAUUAUCCUUUAAUAAAGAAAACAAUAUUGAUAUU
ensembl:lincRNA D830032E09Rik RIKEN cDNA D830032E09 gene